AUCUGGACGGCCAAGAACUAAAAAUCCGAGAGGGGUAGGAAGGGUUUUGGUGAGAGAAAGCUGGGGAAUGAUCUGUGAGCUGAGAAAACAAAAACAAAGAGAGAGGGGAGCCGCAAGAGAAAGGGGGCUUCGGCCAAAACAAAAGGGAAAACCAACGGGGAGAGAAACAAAAGCAAAAAAAGAAAACCCACCCGAGGAUUGAGGAGAGAGUUACGGGAGAAAGAGUAAACGGCAAAAGAAAACAUCAUAGAGAGACGGACGGCUGCAAGGAUCUGGAGAAAGGAAAGAAAUCUGGGAAAAGUCCGAAAGAGAGUUUGGGGUGGCGGCGGAGAGCUUGACAGCCUGGUGAGAGGAAAGGGAAAUAGCAAAGAGGGGGCAUCGAUUGACUGCGGCAAAGAUUUGGAAAGGCUAGUGACGGUUGAGAAGUUGGUUGGACGGCUGAAACCAGAAGGAGACUGAAAGAAACCCCAAGCAGCGACUUCAUCAGACUCUGCAAUCGAUUUCUUCAUCACCCAAGCUGAAGCUUCAAACCCAAAGGUGGUCAACAGGUAUGUGAUUGGAUGUGGAGUUGGCAUUUGGGAGUGAAACAUGAAGGAAAUGCAGCUGAAUUGGCGCAGAAAUGAAAGGCUUCUACGUGUUUUGCAUGCAUGGAUAAUUUCAGAAUUGUCUCUUAACCCCCCAAGUCUCCCCUUGUUCUACUAUGACCCAGAAAUUGGAAGGAUUAAUCAAUUUAGUCCAUGAGAUUUUGCAGCAAUGCUACAAA